UUGGACCCCGCAUGCGGGAUCCGUUAUCAGGAGAAGCCAAAUGGCCCUCAGCGUUGAAGAAAAAGCUCAGAUCGUUGCCGAAUACCAGCAAGCCGCC
rfam:Pseudomonas putida S11 PPS11_c57, whole genome shotgun sequence.